UUGAANUGGGGGCACCCUGAUCCAGCCAUUCCGCGUGAGUGAAGAAGGCCUUCGGGUUGUAAAGCUCUUUCGGCAGGAACGAAACGGUUACGGCCAAUACCCGUGACUAAUGACGGUACCUGAAGAAGAAGCACCGGCUAACUACGUGCCAGCAGCCGCGGUAAUACGUAGGGUGCGAGCGUUAAUCGGAAUUACUGGGCGUAAAGCGUGCGCAGGCGGCUUUUUAAGCCAGAUGUGAAAUCCCCGGGCUUAACCUGGGAACUGCAUUUGGAACUGGAAGGCUAGAGUGCGGCAGAGGGGGGUAGAAUUCCACGUGUAGCAGUGAAAUGCGUAGAGAUGUGGAGGAAUACCGAUGGCGAAGGCAGCCCCCUGGGUCGACACUGACGCUCAUGCACGAAAGCGUGGGGAGCAAACAGGAUUAGAUACCCUGGUAGUCCACGCCCUAAACGAUGUCAACUAGUUGUUGGAGGAGUGAAAUCCUUUAGUAACGAAGCUAACGCGUGAAGUUGACCGCCUGGGGACUACGAUCGCAAGAUUAAAACUCAAAAGAAUUGACGGA
rnacentral:rRNA from 1 species